rnacentral:rRNA from 1 species
ACGCUGGCGGCGUGCCCUAACACAUGCAAGUCAACUUGACUGAAGGAGCAAUCUGACAGUAGAGUGGCGCAAGGGUGCGUAACGCGUAAGUAACUUGCCCCAAGGUGAGGAAUAACGUCGAGAAAUCGGCGCUAAUACCUCAUAAUGCAGCGGAUCCGCAUGGAUAUGUUGUUAAAGGUUUACCGCCUUGGGAUAGGCUUGCGUCUGAUUAGCUAGUUGGUGUGGUAACGGCACACCAAGGCUACGAUCGGUAACUGGUCUGAGAGGAUGAUCAGUCACACUGGAACUGAGACACGGUCCAGACUCCUACGGGAGGCAGCAGUGAGGAAUAUUGGGCAAUGCUCGAAAGAGUGACCCAGCAACGCCGCGUGGAGGAUGAAGGUAUUCUAUAUCGUAAACUCCUGUGAGAGCAGACGAAAGACAGAUUAUUAAUCUGGAUGACUGUAUGCUCAGAGGAAGCCCCGGCUAACUACGUG